CUGUUUUGUCUCGACUUCUUAAGGAUAAUGUUGCGCUAAUAGCGGUUCUGGAAGCAAAAUUUAGCAACCACGGAGCCGAUACUCCUGGAAAGCGGCAGCUUCUUUGUGUGAUUUGUACUCUACCUGGAAGCAGUGCAGCAAAUAUGUACU